AUGUCUACUGUUGUUGUGGUGUCUACUGUUGAUGAAGUGGUGGUUUCUGGAGUUGUUGUGUCUACUGUUGUUGUGGUGUCUACUGUUGUUGUGGUGGUCGGUGCUGGAGUUGUGUUGUCUACUGUUGUUGUGGUGGUUGGUGCUGGAGUUGUGAUGUCUACUGUUGUGGUGGUCGGUGCUGCAGCUGUGGUGUUUUUUGUAUGUGAUGUUUUUGUGGGGGUGUUUUUUGUAUGUGAUGUUUUUGUGGGGGUGUGUUUCGUACGUGGGGUUUUUGUGGGGGGGUGUUUUGUAUGUGGUGUUUUUGUGGUUGUGUGUUUUGUAUGUGGUGCUUUUCUGGUGGUGUGUUUUGUAUGUGGUGUUUUUGUGGUGGUGUGUUUUGUAUGUGGUGUUUUUGUGAUGGCGCGUUUUGUAUGCGGGGCUUUUGUCGUCGUGGUUUCUGGAGUUGUGUUGUCUACUGUUGUUGUGGUGGUCGGCGCUGGAGUUGUGGUGUCUACUGUUGUGGUGGUUGGUGCUGGAGUUGUUGUGUCUACUGUUGUUGUGGUGUCUACUGUUGAUGAAGUGGUGGUUUCUGGAGUUGUUGUGUCUACUGUUGUUGUGGUGUCUACUGUUGUUGUGGUGGUCGGUGCUGGAGUUGUGUUGUCUACUGUUGUUGUGGUGGUUGGUGCUGGAGUUGUGAUGUCUACUGUUGUGGUGGUCGGUGCUGCAGCUGUGGUGUUUUUUGUAUGUGAUGUUUUUGUGGGGGUGUUUUUUGUAUGUGAUGUUUUUGUGGGGGUGUGUUUCGUACGUGGGGUUUUUGUGGGGGGGUGUUUUGUAUGUGGUGUUUUUGUGGUUGUGUGUUUUGUAUGUGGUGCUUUUCUGGUGGUGUGUUUUGUAUGUGGUGUUUUUGUGGUGGUGUGUUUUGUAUGUGGUGUUUUUGUGAUGGCGCGUUUUGUAUGCGGGGCUUUUGUCGUCGUGGUUUCUGGAGUUGUGUUGUCUACUGUUGUUGUGGUGGUCGGCGCUGGAGUUGUGUUGAUCAGUUCUGGAGUUGUGAUGGUUGGCGCUGGAGUUGUGGUGGUCGGUGCUGGAGUUGUUGUGUCUACUGUUGUUGUGGUGGUUGACGCUGGAGUUGUGGUGUCUACUGUUGUCGUGGUGGUCGGCGCUGGAGUUGUGUUGAUCAGUUCUGGAGUUGUGAUGGUCGGCGCUGGAGUUGUGGUAGUCAGUGCUGGAGUUGUUGUGUCUACUGUUGUUGUGGUGAUUGGCGCUGGACUUGUGGUGGUCGGCAGUAGUGUUGUGGUGUCUACUGUUGUAGUGGUGGUUGGCGCUGGAGUUGUGGUGUCUACUGUUGUUGUGGUGGUCGGCGCUGGAGUUGUGUUGAUCAGUUCUGGAGUUGUGAUGGUUGGCGCUGGAGUUGUGGUGGUCGGUGCUGGAGUUGUUGUGUCUACUGUUGUUGUGGUGGUUGACGCUGGAGUUGUGGUGUCUACUGUUGUUGUGGUGGUUGACGCUGGAGUUGUGGUGUCUACUGUUGUCGUGGUGGUCGGCGCUGGAGUUGUGUUGAUCAGUUCUGGAGUUGUGAUGGUCGGCGCUGGAGUUGUGGUAGUCAGUGCUGGAGUUGUUGUGUCUACUGUUGUUGUGGUGAUUGGCGCUGGACUUGUGGUGGUCGGCAGUAGUGUUGUGGUGUCUACUGUUGUAGUGGUGGUUGGCGCUGGAGUUGUGUUGAUCAGUGCUGGAGUUGUGAUGGUCGGCGCUGGAGUUGGGGUGGUGGAUGCUGGAGUUGGGGUGUCUACUGUUGUUGUGGGGGUCGGUGCUGGAGUUGUGGUGUCUACUGUUGUUCUGGGGGUUUGCACUGGAGUUGGGGUGUGUUUUGUAUGUGGUGGUUUUGUGGUGGUGUGUUUGGUAUGUGUUGUUUUUGUGAUGGUGUGUUUUGUAUGCGGGGCUUUUGUGGUCGAGGUUUCUGGAGUUGUGGUGUCCACUGUUGUUUUGGUGGUCAAUACUGGAGUUGUGAUGGUCGGUGCUGGAGUUGUUGUGUCUACUGUUGUGGUGUCUACUGUUGAUGUGGUUGUCGGUGCUGGAGUUGUUGUGUCUGCUGUUGUUGUUGUGUCUACUGUUGAUGAAGUGGUGGUUUCUGGAGUUGUUGCGUCUACUGUUGUUGUGAUGGUCGGCGCUGGAGUUGUGGUGCGUUUUGUAUGUGGGGUUUUUGUGGUGGUGUGUUUUGUAUGUGGUGUUUUUGUGAUGGUGUGUUUUGUAUGUGGGUUUUUUGUAGUGGUGGUUUCUGGGGUUGUGGUAGUCAGUGCUGAAGUUGCGAUGGUCAAUGCUGGAGUUGUUGUGCUCUUUGGAUGUGGUGUUUUUGUGGUGGUGCGUUUUGUAUGUGGGGUUUUUAUAAUGGAGGUUUCUGGAGUUGUGGUGGUUGGUGUUGGAGUUGUGGUGGUUGACGCUGGAGUUGUGGUGUGUUUAGUAUGUGGUGUUUUUGUGGUGGUAUGUUUUCUAUGUGUGGUUUCUUUGGUCCCGGUUUCUGUAGUUGGGGUGGUUGGUUCUGUGGUUGUGGUGGUCGGUGCUGAAGUUGUGGUGGUCGGUGCUGAAGUUGUGGUGGUCGGUGCUGGAGUUGUUGUGUCUACUGUUGUUGUGGUGGUGGUCGGCGCUGGAGUUGUUGUGUCUACUGUUGUUGUGGUGGUCGGCGCUGGACUUGUGGUGGUCGGCAGUAGUGUUGUGGUGUCUACUGUUGUAGUGGUGGUUGGCGCUGGAGUUGUGUUGAUCAGUGCUGGAGUUGUGAUGGUCGGCGCUGGAGUUGGGGUGGUCGGUGCUGAAGUUGUGGUGGUCGGUGCUGAAGUUGUGGUGGUCGGUGCUGGAGUUGUUGUGUCUACUGUUGUUGUGGUGGUGGUCGGCGCUGGAGUUGUUGUGUCUACUGUUGUUGGGGUGGUUGACGCUGGAGUUGUGGUGUCUAGUGUUGUUGUGGUGGUCGGCGCUGGAGUUGUGUUGAUCAGUUCUGGAGUUGUGAUGGUCGGCGCUGGAGUUGUGGUGGUUGGUGCUGGAGUUGUUGUGUCUACUGUUGUUGUGGUGAUCGGCGCUGGACUUGUGGUGGUCGGCAGUAGUGUUGUGGUGUCUACUGUUGUAGUGGUGGUUGGCGCUGGAGUUGUGUUGAUCAGUGCUGGAGUUGUGAUGGUCGGCGCUGGAGUUGGGGUGGAAGACGCUGGAGUUGUGGUGUCUACUGUUGUUGUGGGGGUCGGUGCUGGAGUUGUGGUGUCUACUGUUGUUCUGGGGGUUUGCACUGGAGUUGGGGUGUCUACUGUGGUUGUGGUGGUCGGCGCUGGAGUUUUGGUGUGUUUUGUAUGUGGGGUGUUUGUGGUGGUGUUUUUUGUAUGUGGUGUUUUUGUGGUGGUGUGUUUUGUAUGUGGUGUUUUUGUGGUUGUGCGAUGUGUAUGUGGUGGUUUUGUGGUGGUGUGUUUGGUAUGUGUUGUUUUUGUGAUGGUGUGUUUUGUAUGCGGGGCUUUUGUGGUCGAGGUUUCUGGAGUUGUGGUGUCCACUGUUGUUUUGGCGGUCAGUGCUGGAGUUGUUGUGUCUACUGUUGUUGUGGUGUCUACCGUUGAUGUGGUUGUCGGUGCUGGAGUUAUUGUGUCUGCUGUUGUUGUGGUGUCUACUGUUGAUGAAGUGGUGGUUUCUGGAGUUGUUGCGUCUACUGUUGUUGUGAUGGUCGGCGCUGGAGUUGUGGUGCGUUUUGUAUGUGGGGUUUUUGUGGUGGUGUGUUUUGUAUGUGGGGUUUUUGUAGUGGUGGUUUCUGGAGUUGUGGUAGUCAGUGCAGAAGUUGCGAUGGUCAAUGCUGGAGUUGUUGUGCGCUUUGGAUGUGGUGUUUUUGUGGUGGUGCGUUUUGUAUGUGCGGUUUUUAUGAUAGAAGUUUCUGGAGUUGUGGUGGUUGACGCUGGAGUUGUGGUGUGUUUAGUAUGUGGUGUUUUUGUGGUGGUAUGUUUUCUAUGUGUGGUUCCUUUGGUCCCGGUUUCUGUAGUUGGGGUGGUUGGUUCUGUGGUUGUGGUGGUCGGUGCUGAAGUUGUGGUGGUCGGCGCUGGAGUUGUUGUGUCUACUGUUGUUGUGGUGGUUGACGCUGGAGUUGUGUUGAUCAGUUCUGGAGUUGUGAUGGUCGGCGCUGGAGUUGUGGUGGCUGGUGCUGGAGUUGUGGUAGUCGGUGCUGGAGUUGUUGUGUCUACUGUUGUUCUGGUGAUCAGCGCUGGACUUGUGGUGGUCGGCAGUAGUGUUGUGGUGUCUACUGUUGUAGUGGUGGUUGGCGCUAGAGUUGUGUUGAUCAGUGCUGGAGUUGUGAUGGUCGGCGCUGGAGUUGGGGUGGUGGACGCUGGAGUUGUGGUGUCUACUGUUGUUGUGGGGGUCGGUGCUGGAGUUGUGGUGUCUACUGUGGUUGUGGUGGUUGGCGCUGGAGUUGUGGUGUGUUUUGUAUGUGGGGUGUUUGUGGUGGUGUUUUUUGUAUGUGGUGUUUUUGUGGGGGGGUGUUUUGUAUGUGGUGCUUCUGUGGUGGUGUGUUUGGUAUGUGUUGUUUUUGUGAUGUUGUGUUUUGUAUGCGGGGCUUUUGUGGUCAAGGUUUCCGGAGUUGUGGUGUCCACUGUUGUUUUGGUGGUCAAUACUGGAGUUGUGGUGGUUGGUGUUGGAGUUGUGGUGGUUGACGCUGAAGUUGUGGUGUGUUUAGUAUGUGGUGUUUUUGUGGUGGUAUGUUUUCUAUGUGUGGUUUCUUUGGUCCUGGUUUCUGUAGUUGUGGUGGUCGGUGCUGAAGUUGUGGUGGUCGGCGCUGGAGUUGUUGUAAUGGUUGGCGCUGGAGUUGUUGUGUGUUUUUUAUGUGGUGUUUUUGUGGUGGUGUGUUUUGUAUGUGGGGUUUUUGUAGUGGUGGUUUCUGGGGUUGUGGUAGUCAGUGCUGAAGUUGCGAUGGUCAAUGCUGGAGUUGUUGUGCUCUUUGAAUGUGGUGUUUUUGUGGUGGUGCGUUUUGUAUGUGGGGUUUUAAUGAUGGAGGUUUCUGGAGUUGUGGUGGUUGGUGUUGGAGUUGUGGUGGUCGACGCUGGAGUUGUGGUGUGUUUAGUAUGUGGUGUUUUUGUGGUGGUGUGUUUUCUAUGUGUGGUUUUUUUGGUCCUGGUUUCUGUAGUUGGGGUUGUUGGUGCUGUGGUCGUGGUGGUCGGUGCUGAAGUUGUGGUGGUCGGCGCUGGAGUUGUUGUGUCUACUGUUGUUGUGGUGGUUGACGCUGGAGUUGUGUUGAUCAGUUCUGGAGUUGUGAUGGUCGGCGCUGGAGUUGUGGUAGUCGGUGCUGGAGUUGUUGUGUCUACUGUUGUUGUGGUGAUCGGCGCUGGACUUGUGGUGGUCGGCAGUAGUGUUGUGGUGUCUACUGUUGUAGUGGUGGUUGGCGCUAGAGUUGUGUUGAUCAGUGCUGGAGUUGUGAUGGUCGGUGCUGUAGUUGUCGUGGUCGGCGCUGAAGUUGUGGUGGUCGGCGCUGAAGUUGUGGUGGUCGGCGCUGUAGUUGUGGUAGUAGGUGCUGGCGUUGUGACUAUUGUUCUUGUUGUUGUCAGUGCUGGAGUUGUUGUGGUGUGUUUUGUAUGUGUGUGUUUUGUAGAUGGUGCUGGAGUUGUUUUGGUGUGUUUUGUAUGUCUGUGUAUGUGUUUUGUAGAUGGUGUUGGAGUUGUGGUGUUGAAGUCUGUAAAACACAAUUUCAUAUUAGCGCUGGCUGAUACGUGCUCACAAUGUAUUAUAAUAUUAUAUGAAAUAUUGCAAUGA
rnacentral:lncRNA from 1 species